GGUAACAGUGAGUAGCAGAAGGGAACAAGAGAACAAGAAGAAAUAACUGAACAUGUCAAGGAUCAAUGAGAAAGAACACAGAAGAGAGCAAGAGACGCAACAAGAAAGAACUGAACAUCGACGAUCAACGACAAAGAAGGCAGAAACUGGCAGAGGAGGGAGAAAACGAGUUGCAACAUGGUCAAGGAAAGACGCAAAGAGACAUUAAGAGGAAAUGAAGAGCAGAAGGGAACAAGAGACGCAACAAGAAUUAACUGAACAUGUGGAGGAACAACGAGAAAGAACACAAAACAGAAGCCUUCAAACAC